UGCAGAAUUCAGUGAAUCAUCGAAUCUUUGAACGCACAUUGCGCCCGGCAGUACUCUGCCGGGCAUGCCUGUUCGAGCGUCAUUUCAACCCUCAAGCCCUGCUUGGUGUUGGGGUCCUACGGCUGCCGUAGGCCCUGAAAGGAAGUGGCGGGCUCGCUGCAACUCCGAGCGUAGUAACUAACUGUCUCGCUAGGGAGGUUGCGGCCUGCUCCUGCCGUUAAAGACCACAUCUUUAACCAAGGUUGACCUCGGAUCAGGUAGGAAUACCCGCUGAACUUAAGCAUAUCAAUAAGCGGAGGAAAAGAAACCAACAGGGAUUGCCCUAGUAACGGCGAGUGAAGCGGCAACAGCUCAAAUUUGAAAUCUGGCUUCGGCCCGAGUUGUAAUUUGUAGAGGAUGCUUUUGGCGAGGUGCCUUCUGAGUUCCCUGGAACGGGACGCCAUAGAGGGUGAGAGCCCCGUAUAGUCGGACACCUAGCCUCUGUAAAGCUCCUUCGACGAGUCGAGUAGUUUGGGAAUGCUGCUCAAAAUGGGAGGUAUAUCUCUUCUAAAGCUAAAUAUAGGCCAGAGACCGAUAGCGCACAAGUAGAGUGAUCGAAAGAUGAAAAGCACUUUGAAAAGAGGGUUAAAUAGCACGUGAAAUUGUUGAAAGGGAAGCGCUUGUGACCAGACUUGUGCCGGGCUGAUCAUCCAGUGUUCUCACUGGUGCACUCGACCCGGCUCAGGCCAGCGUCGGUUCUCGCGGGGGGAUAAAAGCUUCGGGAACGUGGCUCCUCCGGGAGUGUUAUAGCCCGUUGCUUAAUACCCUCGCGGGGACCGAGGU
rnacentral:rRNA from 1 species